GUAGUCAUAUGCUUGUCUCAAAGAUUAAGCCAUGCAUGUCUAAGUAUAAGCAAAUUUAUACCGUGAAACUGCGAAUGGCUCAUUAAAUCAGUUAUCGUUUAUUUGAUAGUACCUUACUACUUGGAUAACCGUGGUAAUUCUAGAGCUAAUACAUGCUAAAAGCCCCGACUUCGGAAGGGGUGUAUUUAUUAGAUUAAAAACCAAUGCCCUUCGGGGCUCUUUGGUGAUUCAUAAUAACUUAACGAAUCGCAUGGCCUUGUGCCGGCGAUGGUUCAUUCAAAUUUCUGCCCUAUCAACUUUCGAUGGUGGUAUAUGGGACUACCAUGGUUUCAACGGGUAACGGGGAAU
rnacentral:rRNA from 1 species